rnacentral:rRNA from 1 species
AACGAACGCUGGCGGCAGGCUUAACACAUGCAAGUCGAGCGCCCCGCAAGGGGCGCGGCAGCCGGGUGCGUAACGCGUGGGAACGUACCUUUUGGUUCGGAACAACUCCGGGAAACUGGAGCUAAUACCGGAUAAGCCCUAACGGGGAAAGAUUUAUCGCCGAAAGAUCGGCCCGCGUCUGAUUAGCUAGUUGGUGAGGUAACGGCUCACCAAGGCGACGAUCAGUAGCUGGUCGGAGAGGAUGAUCAGCCACACUGGGACUGAGACACGGCCCAGACUCCUACGGGAGGCAGCAGUGGGGAAUAUUGGACAAUGGGCGCAAGCCUGAUCCAGCCAUGCCGCGUGAGUGAUGAAGGCCUUAGGGUUGUAAAGCUCUUUUGUCCGGGAAGAUAAUGACUGUACCGGAAGAAUAAGCCCCGGCUAACUUCGUG